rnacentral:rRNA from 1 species
UACGAAGGGGGCUAGCGUUGUUCGGAAUUACUGGGCGUAAAGCGCGCGCAGGCGGCUAUCCAAGUCAGUGGUGAAAGCCCGGAGCUCAACUCCGGAACUGCCAUUGAAACUGUUUAGCUUGAGUAUGAGAGAGGUGAGUGGAAUUCCCAGUGUAGAGGUGAAAUUCGUAGAUAUUGGGAAGAACACCGGUGGCGAAGGCGGCUCACUGGCUCAUUACCGACGCUCAGGCGCGAUAGCGUGGGGAUCAAACAGG